rnacentral:misc_RNA from 1 species
AACUGAUACUACCUGCGGGAACCUGCGGAGGGAUCAUUACCGAGUUUACAACUCCCAAACCCAAUGUGAACGUUACCAAACUGUUGCCUCGGCGGGAUCUCUGCCCCGGGUGCGUCGCAGCCCCGGACCAAGGCGCCCGCCGGAGGACCAACCUAAAACUCUUUUGUAUACCCCCUCGCGGGUUUUUUAUAUCUGAGCCAUCUCGGCGCCUCUCGUAGGCGUUUCGAAAAUGAAUCAAAA